GAUGAACGCUGGCGGUGUGCCUAAUACAUGCAAGUCGAGCGAACAGAUGAGGAGCUUGCUCCUCUGACGUUAGCGGCGGACGGGUGAGUAACACGUGGAUAACCUACCUAUAAGACUGGGAUAACUUCGGGAAACCGGAGCUAAUACCGGAUAAUAUAUUGAACCGCAUGGUUCAAUAGUGAAAGACGGUUUUGCUGUCACUUAUAGAUGGAUCCGCGCCGCAUUAGCUAGUUGGUAAGGUAACGGCUUACCAAGGCAACGAUGCGUAGCCGACCUGAGAGGGUGAUCGGCCACACUGGAACUGAGACACGGUCCAGACUCCUACGGGAGGCAGCAGUAGGGAAUCUUCCACAAUGGGCGAAAGCCUGACGGAGCAACGCCGCGUGAGUGAUGAAGGUCUUCGGAUCGUAAAACUCUGUUAUUAGGGAAGAACAAAUGCGUAAGUAACUAUGCACGUCUUGACGGUACCUAAUCAGAAAGCCACGGCUAACUACGUG
rnacentral:rRNA from 1 species